rnacentral:rRNA from 1 species
UACGUAGGUGGCAAGCGUUGUCCGGAUUUACUGGGCGUAAAGAGCGCGCAGGCGGUCGGUCAAGUCGAGUGUGAAAGCCCCCGGCUCAACUGGGGAGGGUCAUUCGAUACUGAUCGACUCGAAGGCAGGAGAGGGUAGUGGAAUUCCCGGUGUAGUGGUGAAAUGCGUAGAUAUCGGGAGGAACACCAGUGGCGAAGGCGACUACCUGGCCUGUUCUUGACGCUGAGGCGCGAAAGCGUGGGGAGCGAACAGG